GGGCACAUGGUGUAGUUGGUUAUCACGCCCGCUUAGCAUGACGUGAAAAAGACUAUUCUGCGGGCGGUCCCCGGUUCAAUUCCGGGUGUGUCCA